GAUGAACGCUGGCGGCGUGCUUAACACAUGCAAGUCGAACGGUGAAAGCGGAGCUUGCUCCGCUGGAUCAGUGGCGAACGGGUGAGUAACACGUGGGCAACCUGCCCCUCACUUCGGGAUAACUCCGGGAAACCGGGGCUAAUACCGGAUAUGACCUCCUUGGGCAUCCUUGGAGGUGGAAAGUUUUUCGGUGAGGGAUGGGCCCGCGGCCUAUCAGCUUGUUGGUGAGGUAGUGGCGCACCAAGGCGACGACGGGUAGCCGGCCUGAGAGGGGGGGCGGCCACCCUGGGAGUGGGACCCGGCGCAGACUCCUAUGGGAGGGAGUGGUGGGGAAGAUGGCGAAAUGGGCGAAGGCCUGGCGCAGCAACGGCGCGUGCGGGAUGACGGCCUUAGGGUUGUAAACCGCUUUCAGCAGGGAAGAAGCCGCAAGGUGACGGUACCUGCAGAAGAAGCACCGGCUAACUACGUGCCAGCAGCCGCCGUAA
rnacentral:rRNA from 1 species